rnacentral:rRNA from 1 species
AGAGUUUGAUCCUGGCUCAGGAUGAACGCUAGCUACAGGCUUAACACAUGCAAGUCGAGGGGCAGCGUGGUCUUAGCUGCUAAGGCCGAUGGCGACCGGCGCACAGGUGAGUAACGCGUAUCCAACCUGCCUUACACUCUUGGACAGCCUUCUGAAAGGGAGAUUAAUACAAGAUGUUAUCAUGAGUAAGCAUUUUCACAUGAUUAAAGGUUUACCGGUGUAAGAUGGGGAUGCGUUCCAUUAGAUAGUAGGCGGGGUAACGGCCCACCUAGUCUUCGACGGAUAGGGGUUCUGAGAGGAAGGUCCCCCACAUUGGAACUGAGACACGGUCCAAACUCCUACGGGAGGCAGCA